rnacentral:rRNA from 1 species
AUGGACCUAGUGCGGUUCGGACAAGCACUGAGGCUACGUUGGCUAUGGCUUGAACGGACGGCACCGGAAAGGCCGUGGAUUGGUUUGCCCGUCCCAUGCACCCUACAAGAGAGAACUCUGUUCGCGGCCGCAACAGCGGCGCAAGUCAGAGAUGGGAAGACGGCGUCCUUCUGGUUUGACAGUUGGAUGCAAGGGGAAGCACCAUUCCUGGUGGCACCGGACAAUUUCCAGAUGGCGCGCCGAAAGAACAAGACGGUGCAUGCGGCGCUCCGUGACAAUAGCUGGGUGCGUGAUGUGCAGGGGCGGGUGACAACGGAGCUACUACCUCAAUUUGUCAACCUCUGGACGAAGGUGGCGGCAGCUGGCCAACUGUCCACUGGACAGGAUAUAUUCACUUGGAAAUUGACGGAAUCAGGAGCGUUCUCCACAAGCUCGGCAUACCACAUGCAGUUCUUGGGGUCCACGAGAUCACCUCUCAUGGCGGCGGUGUGGAAGGCAUGGGCGCCGGCAAAGAUUAAGUUUUUCGCCUGGCUGCUU